rnacentral:lncRNA from 1 species
UUUAUUUCUAGAUUCAUAAAAGAAAAAAUAUGGCUAAAAUUUAUAUAUUCAUUUGUGCUGUGAUUAUCAUUUUUUCCCUAUUUAUUUCAGUAACAAACUGUAUAGGUAAUUCUUAUCAACAAUUUUUAAUUUGGUGGAGUGGACACUAGUACUGGUACCCAAGAUUUAGUUGGGUACCGGUAUCAUUAUACCAAAUUUAAUAUCAUAGCAUAUUUUUAUAUUAAUUUAUAGAGUUAAAUAAGUUUUUCACUCAAAAUAUUUUAAGUACUUUCAACAAGGAUUAAUCCUUGAUCAAUUAUUUUUCGUAACGAUUUAUGGUCCUUGCUUUAGUAAGUCAACUCAAGUAUAUUAUUCGAAAUUUUGAAUUUUUUUUCGCAAUUUUGUUUACUACAUUAUAGAAACCUCUCAUAACACAAUUUAAUUUUUUUUUUUUAACAAAUGAUCAAUGAAAUAUGAAUUUUAAAGUUUUUGGUACUUAAAAUUCAUAUUUAAUUCAUCUUAGAUUAAAAUCUUCUAAAUUAUUGUGAGAGAUAUUAUAAACAAAGAAUAAUAAAACUCAUUCAAAAAUAUGAAAAUAUAUAUAAAUUGACUUAACAAUAAGGACAAAAAAUUAUCACAGAAAUUAUCAAGGAAACCAAAACAAAAUUAUUAUUAAGAUUAGAAACAAAAUUUAAAAUAUUUAUAAAAAUCAAAAUUUUAUUUAAACACUAGUUAUACCAGUAUCUAUUAAAAAUCAAGAUACCUAAGAAUUUUCUUUUUAUCUUAUUCAAAAUUGUUUCAUGUAUUUUGAUAUGUUUCCCUAAUUCUUAUUUGAUAUCACAGAACCACUGCCUAGCUGCGACAAGGAUUCCGAUUGUCCAAGGGAUUUGUGUUGGCCUCCUGAUUUUCCAAGAUGCAGGCAACAAAUGUGUUUGUGUUUCGCUAAUGAUAACUAGUCACUAGUUUCUCUUCUCUCC